rnacentral:lncRNA from 13 species
CAAGAUUCAUCCACACUGUCACCCUGGGAACAGUGCUUUAUUAUUGUGUCCUCUGAAAGAGCUGGACUAACACAUAUGCAGGAUAGGUUAUGAUCUGGUAUGAGGACAGAUUCUCACCCAAAGAAUUUCUUUUUAAGUGCCUGACAUUUCACUAUCCCAGAGGAAUCUUUGUUGGCAGGCAGGGUUUUUGCUGAGGUUGGUUAUAGUUAUGUGCAUGACUGAACACACUCCAUUUUCGUAAGGUCCUUGCAUACUUCCUCAUACCUUUCACCAUGGCACAUGAACUCAGAAACUAGGGAUGGGUGAUUUACUACCUAAAAAUAGGCAAUCAGUGUUUAAUAUGGAGGGACUGAAGGGAAGAAGGAAUAUAAAGAGAGGGAAGAAGGAAUUUGAAAAUAAAUGAUACAUCAAGGAGAUCCUACUUUGGGACUAAACAGUCAUUCUGAUUUAUAAAUUGGAUGACUGAGGCAAGAGGACUGAACCUGUAUGGUCUUGGUUUCAGUUGCUCCUCUCUGAGGCUCAGGUACACAAAGCUGAUCUCCAGGAAGAAGACAAAUUAUUUACAUAAGAAAGCCAGAACUGCAGGGGCAUGGUGGCUCACACCUGUAAUCUCAGCCUUUGGGAGGCCAAGGUGGGUGGAUCACCUGAGUUCUGGAGUUUGAGACCAGCCUGACCAACAUGAAGAAACCCCCAUUUCUAGUAAAAAUACAAAAUUAGUCGGGCAUGGUGGUGCAUUCCUUUAAUUCCAGCUCCUCAGGAGCCUGAGGCAGGAGAAUCGCUUGAAUCUGGGAGGAGGAGGUUGCCGUGAGCUGAGAUCACAUCAUUGCACUGCAGCCUGCGCAACAAGAGUGAAACUCCUUCUCAAACAGAAGAAGAAGAAGAAGAAGAAGAAGAAGAAGAAGAAGAAGAAGAAGAAGAAGAAGAGAGGAGGAGGAGGAGGAGGAAGAAGAAGAAGAAGAAAGCAAGAAAGCCAAGACAUCCUGGGAGGGAGGAGGAGUCCCCCCUUGGUAAACUUCUCCUAAGUAGGGAGCUCUUUUUGGUUGACAGGGUACCUCCUAUUCUCCCAAGGUCUAAUGGCUAAGGUCUGGAGAAAAAACCAAAAAACAAUAACUACCUUUCCUGAGGAAGGGGAGUGUGGAUUGGCGACUCAGGCUAUGACAAACUUCCAAGCUUUCUCUUGAAACCGCAUGGCUUUGGACAGCUUUGGCAUCAUCUGUGGAGCCUGUGGAGAACCAUUUCUUCAUAGGGACACCUCUGUGUGGUUUAACAAGGAGCAAUGGCAGCAAAGCGCGAGGAGGACUGGUCUUCUUUGGGCAGAGUAAUGUAUUUAUUUAUUUAUUUUUGAGGCACAGUCUCACUCGGUCACCCAAGCUGGAAUGCAAUGGUGCGAUCUCAGCUUACUGCAACCUCUGCCUCCCAGGUUCAAGGUAUUCUCAUGCCUCAGCCUCCUCAGUAGCUGGAACUACAGGUGUGUGCCACCACUUCAAGCUAAUUUCUAUUUUUAGUAGACAGGGUUUCCCCAUGUUGGCCAGGCUGGUCUCAAACUCCUGACCUCAGGUAAUCCACUUGCCUUGGCCUUCCAAAGUGCUGUGAUUAUAGGCGUAGGCCACUGCACUGGGCCUGGGCAGAGUAAUUUUUGGAGGUAGAGGUGGGAGAAGAGCU